AUUGUAUAUCCAUGAAUAACUGAGUUAGAUUGAAAUCCCUUGAAGAUUCGUCCAUAAAAACUUCUCUUUUCCUACUACCAGUGGUGCCAUUCAAAGUUGACAUUCCGAGCCCUGGAAAGAUGCUUCAUUGUAGAUGUAGCAAAUUCCCAUCCUGAUCUGGUGAUCUGAUAAUCAAGUCGGAGUAAUUACUCAGAUCAAGGCCUGAAGUGCCUUCUUCAAAAUCCACUCUUAGUAGUACCAAAUUAGUCUUCAAUAGAAUCUUCUUCGAAUCACAAUCAGCUUUGUCGAACAUAGAAAACUGCUUCUAAUAAUCCUUUGAGAAAUCAAUUGGAUUGGGUCAUCAAUGUACUUCCAUUACCGGUUCUGAGAAUCUGGUAUUUGAAAGCCCGGUGUUUGUCUUGUAAUCUGUCAGCCUGAUCUGUCUCAACUAAAUGUCAAUCUGAUUUGUCUUGGAGUAGAAUAAUUAAAAAGGUUACGGGACACUUGAUUAUUUAAACUAAGUUUAAAUU
rnacentral:lncRNA from 1 species